AACACAAUUUGGAUGAAACAGGUGAAAAAUUUUGUACUGUGUCGGACAUACUGUGUUGG
ensembl:miRNA gmo-mir-11258 gmo-mir-11258